rnacentral:sRNA from 1 species
UCACGAUUCACCUAAUCCACAAGGACCG